AUUGAACGCUGGCGGCAGGCCUAACACAUGCAAGUCGAGCGGGGUUUUCGGACCUAGCGGCGGACGGGUGAGUAAUGCGUAGGAAGCUACCCGAUAGAGGGGGAUACCAGUUGGAAACGACUGUUAAUACCGCAUAAUGUCUACGGACCAAAGUGUGGGACCUUCGGGCCACAUGCUAUCGGAUGCGCCUACGUGGGAUUAGCUAGUUGGUGAGGUAAUGGCUCACCAAGGCGACGAUCCCUAGCUGGUUUGAGAGGAUGAUCAGCCACACUGGAACUGAGACACGGUCCAAACUCCUACGGGAGGCAGCAGGGGGAAAUAUUGGACAAUGGGCGCAAGCCUGAUCCAGCCAUGCCGCGUGUGUGAAGAAGGCCUUCGGGUUGUAAAGCACUUUCAGUAGGGAGGAAGCGUUGUGUGUUAAUACGUAUCAACUGUGACGUUGCUCGCAGAAGAAGCACCGGCUAACUCCGUGCCAGCAGCCGCCGUAACAC
rnacentral:rRNA from 1 species